rnacentral:lncRNA from 1 species
AUGCCAAAUUUCACAGAUGUGACAGAAUUUGUUCUUCUGGGAUUGACCAGUCAUCAGGAGCUUCAAGUUCUCUUUUUUGUGGUGUUUCUAGUAGUUUACAUGAUUACUCUGAUAGGGAACAUUGACAUGAUUAUUUUGAUCAGCAUCAGCCUCCAGCUUCAGAGCUUCAUGUACUUUUUCUUGAGUCACUUGUCUUUUGUGGAUGUGUGGUUCUCUUUCAAUGUCACUCUGAAGAUGCUGGAAAACUUACUAUCAGAGAAAAAACCAUUUCCUAUGUGGGAUGCUUGGUGCAGUGUUACUUCUUCAGAGCCCUUGUCCACGUGGAAGUAUAUAUCUUGGCUAUGAUGGCCUUUGAGUGCUACAUGGCCAUCUGCAACCCUCUGCUUUAUGGCAGUAAAAUGUCCAGGACUGUCUGUGCUAGUCUCAUCUCUGUGCCAUACAUCUAUGGGUUCUCUGAUACCCUAAUUUGCACAUUGUGGACAUAUAGCCUGUAUUUCUAUGGAAACUUUGAAAUUAACCACUUCUAUUGUGCUGACCAUCCUCUUACAAAGAUUGCCUGUGGAGGGGUCCACAUUAAAGAAUACACCCACGUGUGGGUCCCACCUGACAGCUGUUACCAUGUUUUAUGGGACUCUCCUCUUCAUGUAUCUCAGGAGGCCCGCUGAAGAGUCUGUGGAGCAGGGGAAGAUGGUGGCUGUGUCUUACACCACAGUGAUUCCCAUGCUGAAUCCCAUGAUCUACAGUUUGAGGAACAAAGAUGUGAAAGAGGUGGUAAACGAAGCAAUCAUCAAGGCAAACUUGAGGCAGUGA